rnacentral:rRNA from 1 species
AACGAACGCUGGCGGCAUGCCUAACACAUGCAAGUCGAACGAGACCUUCGGGUCUAGUGGCGCACGGGUGCGUAACGCGUGGGAACCUGCCCUUAGGUUCGUAAUAACUCCCCGAAAGGGGUGCUAAUACCGGAUAAUGUCUUCGGACCAAAGAUUUAUCGCCUUUGGAUGGGCCCGCGUUGGAUUAGCUAGUUGGUAGGGUAAAAGCCUACCAAGGCGACGAUCCAUAGCUGGUCUGAGAGGAUGAUCAGCCACACUGGGACUGAGACACGGCCCAGACUCCUACGGGAAGCAGCAGUGGGGAAUAUUGGACAAUGGGCGAAAGCCUGAUCCAGCAAUGCCGCGUGAGUGAUGAAGGCCUUAGGGUUGUAAAGCUCUUUUACCCGGGAUGAUAAUGACAGUACCGGGAGAAUAAGCUCCGGCUAACUCCGUG